rnacentral:rRNA from 1 species
GGGUUGUGAGGUUAAGCGACUAAGCGUACACGGUGGAUGCCCUGGCAGUCAGAGGCGAUGAAGGACGUGCUAAUCUGCGAUAAGCGUCGGUAAGGUGAUAUGAACCGUUAUAACCGGCGAUUUCCGAAUGGGGAAACCCAGUGUGUUUCGACACACUAUCAUUAACUGAAUCCAUAGGUUAAUGAGGCGAACCGGGGGAACUGAAACAUCUAAGUACCCCGAGGAAAAGAAAUCAACCGAGAUUCCCCCAGUAGCGGCGAGCGAACGGGGAGCAGCCCAGAGCCUGAAUCAGUGUGUGUGUUAGUGGAAGCGUCUGGAAAGGCGCGCGAUACAGGGUGACAGCCCCGUACACAAAAAUGCACAUGCUGUGAGCUCGAUGAGUAGGGCGGGACACGUGGUAUCCUGUCUGAAUAUGGGGGGACCAUCCUCCAAGGCUAAAUACUCCUGACUGACCGAUAGUGAACCAGUACCGUGAGGGAAAGGCGAAAAGAACCCCGGCGAGGGGAGUGAAAAAGAACCUGAAACCGUGUACGUACAAGCAGUGGGAGCACGCUUAGGCGUGUGACUGCGUACCUUUUGUAUAAUGGGUCAGCGACUUAUAUUCUGUAGCAAGGUUAACCGAAUAGGGGAGCCGAAGGGAAACCGAGUCUUAACUGGGCGUUAAGUUGCAGGGUAUAGACCCGAAACCCGGUGAUCUAGCCAUGGGCAGGUUGAAGGUUGGGUAACACUAACUGGAGGACCGAACCGACUAAUGUUGAAAAAUUAGCGGAUGACUUGUGGCUGGGGGUGAAAGGCCAAUCAAACCGGGAGAUAGCUGGUUCUCCCCGAAAGCUAUUUAGGUAGCGCCUCGUGAAUUCAUCUCCGGGGGUAGAGCACUGUUUCGGCAAGGGGGUCAUCCCGACUUACCAACCCGAUGCAAACUGCGAAUACCGGAGAAUGUUAUCACGGGAGACACACGGCGGGUGCUAACGUCCGUCGUGAAGAGGGAAACAACCCAGACCGCCAGCUAAGGUCCCAAAGUCAUGGUUAAGUGGGAAACGAUGUGGGAAGGCCCAGACAGCCAGGAUGUUGGCUUAGAAGCAGCCAUCAUUUAAAGAAAGCGUAAUAGCUCACUGGUCGAGUCGGCCUGCGCGGAAGAUGUAACGGGGCUAAACCAUGCACCGAAGCUGCGGCAGCGACGCUUAUGCGUUGUUGGGUAGGGGAGCGUUCUGUAAGCCUGCGAAGGUGUGCUGUGAGGCAUGCUGGAGGUAUCAGAAGUGCGAAUGCUGACAUAAGUAACGAUAAAGCGGGUGAAAAGCCCGCUCGCCGGAAGACCAAGGGUUCCUGUCCAACGUUAAUCGGGGCAGGGUGAGUCGACCCCUAAGGCGAGGCCGAAAGGCGUAGUCGAUGGGAAACAGGUUAAUAUUCCUGUACUUGGUGUUACUGCGAAGGGGGGACGGAGAAGGCUAUGUUGGCCGGGCGACGGUUGUCCCGGUUUAAGCGUGUAGGCUGGUUUUCCAGGCAAAUCCGGAAAAUCAAGGCUGAGGCGUGAUGACGAGGCACUACGGUGCUGAAGCAACAAAUGCCCUGCUUCCAGGAAAAGCCUCUAAGCAUCAGGUAACAUCAAAUCGUACCCCAAACCGACACAGGUGGUCAGGUAGAGAAUACCAAGGCGCUUGAGAGAACUCGGGUGAAGGAACUAGGCAAAAUGGUGCCGUAACUUCGGGAGAAGGCACGCUGAUAUGUAGGUGAAGUGAUUUACUCAUGGAGCUGAAAUCAGUCGAAGAUACCAGCUGGCUGCAACUGUUUAUUAAAAACACAGCACUGUGCAAACACGAAAGUGGACGUAUACGGUGUGACGCCUGCCCGGUGCCGGAAGGUUAAUUGAUGGGGUCAGCGCAAGCGAAGCUCUUGAUCGAAGCCCCGGUAAACGGCGGCCGUAACUAUAACGGUCCUAAGGUAGCGAAAUUCCUUGUCGGGUAAGUUCCGACCUGCACGAAUGGCGUAAUGAUGGCCAGGCUGUCUCCACCCGAGACUCAGUGAAAUUGAACUCGCUGUGAAGAUGCAGUGUACCCGCGGCAAGACGGAAAGACCCCGUGAACCUUUACUAUAGCUUGACACUGAACAUUGAGCCUUGAUGUGUAGGAUAGGUGGGAGGCUUUGAAGUGUGGACGCCAGUCUGCAUGGAGCCGACCUUGAAAUACCACCCUUUAAUGUUUGAUGUUCUAACGUGGACCCGUAAUCCGGGUUGCGGACAGUGUCUGGUGGGUAGUUUGACUGGGGCGGUCUCCUCCUAAAGAGUAACGGAGGAGCACGAAGGUUGGCUAAUCCUGGUCGGACAUCAGGAGGUUAGUGCAAUGGCAUAAGCCAGCUUGACUGCGAGCGUGACGGCGCGAGCAGGUGCGAAAGCAGGUCAUAGUGAUCCGGUGGUUCUGAAUGGAAGGGCCAUCGCUCAACGGAUAAAAGGUACUCCGGGGAUAACAGGCUGAUACCGCCCAAGAGUUCAUAUCGACGGCGGUGUUUGGCACCUCGAUGUCGGCUCAUCACAUCCUGGGGCUGAAGUAGGUCCCAAGGGUAUGGCUGUUCGCCAUUUAAAGUGGUACGCGAGCUGGGUUUAGAACGUCGUGAGACAGUUCGGUCCCUAUCUGCCGUGGGCGCUGGAGAACUGAGGGGGGCUGCUCCUAGUACGAGAGGACCGGAGUGGACGCAUCACUGGUGUUCGGGUUGUCAUGCCAAUGGCACUGCCCGGUAGCUAAAUGCGGAAGAGAUAAGUGCUGAAAGCAUCUAAGCACGAAACUUGCCCCGAGAUGAGUUCUCCCUGACCCUUUAAGGGUCCUGAAGGAACGUUGAAGACGACGACGUUGAUAGGCCGGGUGUGUAAGCGCAGCGAUGCGUUGAGCUAACCGGUACUAAUGAACCGUGAGGCUUAACCUUACAACGCCGAAGCUGUU